rnacentral:rRNA from 1 species
AGUGAACGCUGGCGGUAGGCCUAACACAUGCAAGUCGAACGGCAGCACAGUAAGAGCUUGCUCUUACGGGUGGCGAGUGGCGGACGGGUGAGGAAUACAUCGGAAUCUACUUUUUCGUGGGGGAUAACGUAGGGAAACUUACGCUAAUACCGCAUACGACCUACGGGUGAAAGCGGGGGAUCUUCGGACCUUGCGCGAUUGAAUGAGCCGAUGUCGGUUUAGCUAGUUGGCGGGGUAAAGGCCCACCAAGGCGACGAUCCGUAGCUGGUCUGAGAGGAUGAUCAGCCACACUGGAACUGAGACACGGUCCAGACUCCUACGGGAGGCAGCAGUGGGGAAUAUUGGACAAUGGGCGCAAGCCUGAUCCAGCCAUACCGCGUGGGUGAAGAAGGCCUUCGGGUUGUAAAGCCCUUUUGUUGGGAAAGAAAAGCAGCAGGUUAAUACCCCGCUGUUCUGACGGUACCCAAAGAAUAAGCACCGGCUAACUUCGUG